rnacentral:rRNA from 1 species
UCGAGCGGUAGCACAGAGAGCUUGCUCUCGGGUGACGAGCGGCGGACGGGUGAGUAAUGUCUGGGAAACUGCCUGAUGGAGGGGGAUAACUACUGGAAACGGUAGCUAAUACCGCAUAAUGUCGCAAGACCAAAGUGGGGGACCUUCGGGCCUCAUGCCAUCAGAUGUGCCCAGAUGGGAUUAGCUAGUAGGUGGGGUAACGGCUCACCUAGGCGACGAUCCCUAGCUGGUCUGAGAGGAUGACCAGCCACACUGGAACUGAGACACGGUCCAGACUCCUACGGGAGGCAGCAGUGGGGAAUAUUGCACAAUGGGCGCAAGCCUGAUGCAGCCAUGCCGCGUGUGUGAAGAAGGCCUUCGGGUUGUAAAGCACUUUCAGCGGGGAGGAAGGCGUUAAGGUUAAUAACCUUGGCGAUUGACGUUACCCGCAGAAGAAGCACCGGCUAACUCCGUGCCAGCAGCCGCGGUAAUACGGAGGGUGCAAGCGUUAAUCGGAAUUACUGGGCGUAAAGCGCACGCAGGCGGUCUGUCAAGUCGGAUGUGAAAUCCCCGGGCUCAACCUGGGAACUGCAUUCGAAACUGGCAGGCUAGAGUCUUGUAGAGGGGGGUAGAAUUCCAGGUGUAGCGGUGAAAUGCGUAGAGAUCUGGAGGAAUACCGGUGGCGAAGGCGGCCCCCUGGACAAAGACUGACGCUCAGGUGCGAAAGCGUGGGGAGCAAACAGGAUUAGAUACCCUGGUAGUCCACGCCGUAACGAUGUCGAUUUGGAGGUUGUGCCCUUGAGGCGUGGCUUCCGGAGCUAACGCGUUAAAUCGACCGCCUGGGGAGUACGGCCGCAAGGUUAAAACUCAAUGAAUUGACGGGGCCCGCACAAGCGGUGGAGCAUG